CUUGUUUUAACAGUAAGAAACAGAAAAACUAAAAAACGAGCUGAAUUUCCGUUUUUUCGUUUUGGGGCAUACCUUGGUCCUCAACUUGCUGUAUUUGAGUAAUGAUCAGACUAACAACAACAUCAACAGGGUCGAGUGCCCGUCCUCCCGCAGGACAACCAGACAGGAAGGAGAGUCUCUGCCCGCCAGAGGAGGCCUGCAGUCUGCAGACAGUGUCCCUGCUGCAGGGACGACCAGGUGCCACAUACAAAGCGCAGGCGCCCUGCUGCUUCUGCAGACCUUCCCCAGAAAAGGAAGCAGACCUCCGCUGCUCUUCCUCCUAAACCUGCUGACCUGCCACCUGUCUCUAAUGUGGCCCCCAGCCCCCGGACCUCCACUGCUCCUCUGCACCUCGACAACCCUAUCAGGAUCCACAAUCGCUCAGUCGAGGAGUACCAGCUCAUCUACCAUGAAGUUGUGGAUAACAUGCUGAGGUUCCCGAACGGUCUCCUGCGUCCAUAUAGUUUGGGUCUGGGUCGUCGUAUCAAGCAGAAGCUGUGGGAGCGACUGGACCGUCCGAUGUUCACAGAGACAGUGGAUGAAGACGGUCUGGUCCAUGUGGACGUGUCCUACGGUGCUGGAGUCCAGCCUCCGCUCUUCAACGUGGAUGUUUCUGGUGAACCAGAGCCCGAAUAUCCACCAGCAAAAAGGGCAAAGCACUAAGACACACUCUCAUAAGCUGACAUGUCUAAAUAACACUGUGCUUUAAGUUUAGUUUAGUUUUUUUAAGUUUCAUUUGAGUAGUUUUAAGUUUUAAGUAUGGCAGUUAAGUUUAAGUUUAUUAAGUGUAGAGUUAAGUCUUUAGUGCCAAGCAUAAGUAUUAAGUGUUAAGUCUUUAGUUUUAAGUAUUUAGUCAUAAGUAUAACUAUAAAGUGUUAAGAGUAAGUGUUUAGUUUAAGUUUUUAGUUAAAGUAUUUUGUUUGAAGUAUUUAGUAUUAAGUGUACGUUUUUACUGCUAAGUAUAAGUAUUAAGUGUUUAGUUUAAGUAUUUAGUAAUAAGUUUAAGAAUGUAGUGUUAAGAAUAAGUAUUUAGUGUUAAGAGUUAGUAUUUAGUUUGAGAUAAGUUUACUUUCAUUGAUCUUAAUGUAUCUCACCACUGAUUAAUUGUCUUCCUCUGAAUCAGUUCAUGCUCCUCUGUUAACAGUCUUCUCAAUCAGCUUCAGCCUCAACAGCAACAGUUAUCACCUGCCAGAACACCUGCUCCACCCUCCAGCCUCCACCUGUUACUUCUACCAGACAAAACAUCAGCCUUGCUCUGCAGCCUGUGAGAUGACAGACUCCUCUCCACCUGCAGCCUCUGUCAGCAACCUGCAGCCAUCUCCUCCAACUGCACAUUCUGUUGAAUAGCUGAUGGCUAAACCUCCAUCUACAGCCUUUGCCAGUGCACCUGUGCCUACACCUCUCGAAGUGAACUGCUAUCCGAGCCUCCACCUACAGCCUCUAUAAGGAAACCUGCACAGAUGUUAUCCUACUGCCAUUUGGAGACCUGAGUGGAACAGCAAGGACCAGAGAAACACGCGCAGAUAUAGUCCUUCAGUUAAUAUGCAAAAAUAUUUCUGUGUUAUUAAAGCUGGCUUUCUGUUUACAUUCUGUUCAUUUGUUCUUCUUCUCACAGGUGUUUUCAAACGUUGUGUGAAAGACUGAGCACACACUCCUCAACAUGAACCUGACUGACUGUGAUGAUGCCUUCGGAUCAGGGGGGCACUGGUUCAAUCCCCACUGCAGUCAGCAUGUCGUUGUGUCCCUGGGCUUCACCCCAAAUAGCUCCUGUGAGGAUUGUCUACAGUAUUGAGUGUAUGUAAGUCGCUUUAAGGUAAAAGCAACUAACAAGUGACAUAUAGA